UGGCGGACGGGUGAGUAAUGUCUGGGAAACUGCCCGAUGGAGGGGGAUAACUACUGGAAACGGUAGCUAAUACCGCAUAACGUCGCAAGACCAAAGAGGGGGACCUUAGGGCCUCUUGCCAUCGGAUGUGCCCAGAUGGGAUUAGCUAGUAGGUGGGGUAAUGGCUCACCUAGGCGACGAUCCCUAGCUGGUCUGAGAGGAUGACCAGCCACACUGGAACUGAGGCACGGUCCAG
rnacentral:rRNA from 1 species